GGGAGAACUGCUGUACAUAUCUGCCAGCCUGGAGAAAUGAGAGCAAUAUACCUGCUUCUUGUUUGUUGGAAACCCAAAUGUAAUUGACCUGCUGGACACAUUACACUUUUUGGCAUCUUUUGGCCACUAUUUCCUAAUUGUAAGAUGUGAAGAUACGCUCUGGAUCAAAGAGGCUCUCAUGUUCGCUUAAUAAUUCAGAGUCCAUCACUCAGUGGCUGGACUCUGCCAUGCACAUCACAGAGCAUCUGAGAGGCAAGGUAUCCACCAGCGUGGGACAACUCUAUGCUUGCAUUCUGAUCAUGCCUCACUCCUCACACUUCAGCUUGUGUGAUGCCACCAGUUUGAGCCCUCUGAAAAUCCCAUCUGACCACUGCUAACCUCCUCUACCACCACCAGGCACCUACAACAGAAGACAAUCCAUAAAUGACCAUGUGAUGGGUGCUCCAUCAAUGAUGAAAGGAAUGAAUGAGUACCUUUUAUGGCAUGGUGGGAGGUGGAGGUGGCGGGAGCACUUGAAGGUGGAGGAGAUUGGUACAUGCCUGCCCCUUGUGACUGAAUCUGGAACAGGUGCACGUUUCUGCCUGCUUCGUGAAGCAAACUGCCAAAGUCGAACCAAGGCCAGUCA
rnacentral:lncRNA from 1 species